rnacentral:rRNA from 1 species
ACGGAAGGCAGCAGUGGGGAAUAUUGCACAAUGGGCGAAAGCCUGAUGCAGCGAUGCCGCGUGAGGGAAGAAGGUUUUCGGAUUGUAAACCUCUGUCCUCAGGGACGAUAAUGACGGUACCUGAGGAGGAAGCUCCGGCUAACUACGUGCCAGCAGCCGCGGUAAUACGUAGGGAGCGAGCGUUGUCCGGAAUUACUGGGUGUAAAGGGCGCGUAGGCGGGACGGCAAGUCAGAUGUGAAAUGUAUGGGCUUAACCCAUAACCUGCAUUUGAAACUGUUGUUCUUGAGUGAGGUAGAGGUAAGCGGAAUUCCUAGUGUAGCGGUGAAAUGCGUAGAUAUUAGGAGGAACAUCGGUGGCGAAGGCGGCUUACUGGGCCUUUACUGACGCUGAGGCACGAAAGCGUGGGGAGCAAACAGGAUUAGAUACCCUGGUA